GCGCCCGUAGCUCAGCCCGGAUAGAGCGCUGCCCUGCGGAGGCAGAGGUCGCAGGUUCAAAUCCUGCCGGGCGUACCA
rnacentral:tRNA from 1 species